AUUGAACGCUGGCGGAAUGCUUUACACAUGCAAGUCGAACGGCAGCACGGGGCAACCUGGUGGCGAGUGGCGAACGGGUGAGUAAUACAUCGGAACGUGCCCAAUCGUGGGGGAUAACGUAGCGAAAGUUACGCUAAUACCGCAUACGAUCUACGGAUGAAAGCGGGGGAUCGCAAGACCUCGCGCGAGUGGAGCGGCCGAUGUCAGAUUAGGUAGUUGGUGGGGUAAAGGCUCACCAAGCCAACGAUCUGUAGCUGGUCUGAGAGGACGACCAGCCACACUGGAACUGAGACACGGUCCAGACUCCUACGGGAGGCAGCAGUGGGGAAUUUUGGACAAUGGGCGCAAGCCUGAUCCAGCCAUUCCGCGUGCAGGAUGAAGGCCUUCGGGUUGUAACUGCUUUUGUACGGAACGAAACGGCGAGCUCUAAUACAGUUGCUAAUGACGGUACCGUAAGAAGUAAGCACGGCUAACUACGUCGCCAGCCGCCGCGUAACGUACCC
rnacentral:rRNA from 1 species